rnacentral:lncRNA from 1 species
AGAAUUCCCCAAAAGAUAAAAUGGAGCGAAGGCUCAGCCCAAAUUUUAUCUGCCGCAUCCAACGCUUUCAUAUCUGUUAACUGCUACAACAGGCUGCUUCCUUUCACUUCAAUGCUGUAACUGCUUCUGCUGCCAUAACAACGGGCUCCUUCCUUCCACUUAAAUGCUUUACCUGCUUCUGCUGCCAUAACAACAAAACACACAAAUGGCGUGCUCCUUUAAGCACCACCUCUUGCUCCUCCACUCACAUUCCCUCUCGAGAAUAGUCCCCUUCCGCCGCUUCCACCGAAUCGCCACCGCCGGCAGCCACUCUCGCAGCC